UACAGAGGUCUCAAGCGUUGUUCGGAUUCAUUGGGCGUAAAGGGUGUGUAGGUGGCGCGCUAAGUCGGGUGUGAAAUUUCGGAGCUUAACUCCGAAACUGCAUUCGAUACUGGCGUGCUUGAGGACUGGAGAGGAGACUGGAAUUUACGGUGUAGCAGUGAAAUGCGUAGAUAUCGUAAGGAAGACCAGUGGCGAAGGCGGGUCUCUGGGACAGUUCCUGACACUGAGACACGAAGGCCAGGGAGCAAACGGG
rnacentral:rRNA from 1 species